rnacentral:rRNA from 1 species
UGCUGGCUCUUCUUCAGAGGGGGUAUGUGCACGCUUGUCAUCUUUAUCAUUUCUCCAACUGUGCACAUAUUGUAGACCUGUUCCUUUUUUGAAGAAAUUCAAGUUGGGGGAUGCUGUGCUUUCCAAAAAGUCGGCUUUCCCUUGUAUUUUUCAGGUCUAUGUCAUUUUUCACAACCUCUAGAAUGCGUUUAGAAUGUUGAAUCAUAUAUAAAGUUAAUAUACAACUUUCAGCAACGGAUCUCUUGGCUCUCGCAUCGAUGAAGAACGCAGCGAAAUGCGAUAAGUAAUGUGAAUUGCAGAAUUCAGUGAAUCAUCGAAUCUUUGAACGCAUCUUGCGCUCCUUGGUAUUCCGAGGAGCAUGCCUGUUUGAGUGUCAUUUGACUUCUCUCAACCACAUUGUCUUUUCAAUGUGGCUUGGAUGUGGGGGAAUUUCUUUGCAGGCUUUUUAAUUUAAGAAGCCGGCUCCCUGAAUGCAUUAGUGUGUCUGACUGCUAUUGUGUGAUAAUUUAUCUAUGCUUUGGAAUGCUGGUCAGCGGCCGCUUAUACAGACAAAUUCAUUUGACAAUUGACCUCAAUCAGGUAGGACUACCGCUGACUUAAGCAUAUCAUAA